CCAGCAGUACGGACGAGGUGCUGUCCCUGGAGGAGAAAGACCUGAGGGACCGGGAGAGGCGCAUGGCCAAUAACGCGCGGGAGCGGGUGCGCGUGCGGGAUAUUAACGAGGCCUUCCGGGAGCUGGGGCGCAUGUGCCAGAUGCACCUCAAGUCGGACAAAGCGCAGACCAAGCUGCUCAUCCUGCAGCAGGCCGUGCAGGUCAUCCUGGGGCUGGAGCAGCAGGUGCGAGAGCGGAACCUGAAUCCCAAAGCAGCCUGUUUGAAACGGCGAGAAGAGGAAAAGGUGUCAGGUGUGGUUGGAGACCCCCAGAUGGUGCUUUCAGCUCCCCACCCAGGCCUGAGCGAAGCCCACAACCCCGCCGGGCACAUGUGAAAGGUAUGCCUCCGUGGGACGAGCCACCCGCUUUCAGCCCUGUGCUCUGGCCCCAGAACGGCCACUCGAGACCCCGGGCUUCAUCCACAUCCACACCUCACACACCUGUUGUCAGCAUCGAGCCAACACCAACCUGACAAGGUUCGGAGUGAUGGGGGCGGCCAAGGUGACACUGGGUCCAGGAGCUCCCUGGGGCCCUGGCCUACCACUCACUGGCCUCGCUCCCCCUGUCCCCGAAUCUCAGCCACCGUGUCACUCUGUGACCUGUCCCAUGGAUCCUGAAACUGCAUCUUGGCCCUGUUGCCUGGGCUGACAGGAGCAUUUUUUUUUUUUCCAGUAAACAAAACCUGAAAGCAAGCAACAAAACAUACACUUUGUCAGAGAAGAAAAAAAUGCCUUAACUAUAAAAAGCGGAGAAAUGGAAACAUAUCACUCAAGGGGGAUGCUGUGGAAACCUGGCUUAUUCUUCUAAAGCCACCAGCAAAUUGUGCCUAAGCGAAAUAUUUUUUUUAAGGAAAAUAAAAACAUUAGUUACAAGAUUUUUUUUUUCUUAAUGUAGAUGAAAAUUAGCAAGGAUGCUGCCUUUGGUCUCUGGUUUUUUUAAGCUUUUUUUGCAUAUGUUUUGUAAGCAACAAAUUUUUUUGUAUAAAAGUCCCGUGUCUCUCGCUAUUUCUGCUGCUGUUCCUAGACUGAGCAUUGCAUUUCUUGAUCAACCAGAUGAUUAAACGUUGUAUU
rnacentral:lncRNA from 1 species